rnacentral:tRNA from 1 species
GCGGCAAUAACCCUAAUUGGUAAGGGAUCGGUCUUGAAAACCGAUAGUAACCUGAAAAGGUGUGCAGGUUCGAGUCCUGCUUGCCGCGCCA